ACUCUUCGGAGUGAGUGGCAGACGGGGAGUAACGCGUGGGAACCUACCCUUCGGUGCGGAAUAACCCCGGGAAACGGGACUAAUACCGGAUACGCCUUUAGGGGGAAAGAUUUAUCGCCAAUGGUGGGCCCGCGCUUGAUUAGCUAGUUGGUGGGGUAAAGGCCCACCAAGGCACGAUCUGUAGCUGGUCUGAGAGGGUGAUCAGCCACACUGGGACUGAGAACGGCCCAGACUCCUACGGGAGGCAGCAGUGGGGAAUAUUGGACAAUGGCGCAAGCCUGAUCCAGCCAUGCCGCGUGAGUGAUGAAGGCCUUAGGGUUUAAAGCUCUUUCGGCGGGGAAGAUAAUGACGGUACCCGGAGAAGAAGCCCGGCUAACUUCGUGCCAGCAGCCGCGGUAAU
rnacentral:rRNA from 1 species